rnacentral:tRNA from 1 species
AGGUUGGCUAACUAACGAUGGAAACUAGGAAACACAUCGUUUCAAGAUGUGAAUCCGGGGGUUCGAAUCCCCGCCAGCUCA